UUUUUCCUAUUGAAGAUAUUUCUUGGAUGGUUAUAUAGAUAAAUGUAGACUAUUAUUUCUCGGCAAGCUGUGCAUCAGCAAGUGUAACUCUUCAUUUAAGGAUAUUUUCUGUGUACAUUUAGCCACCUUUCAAAACAGAACAGUUGUCUUACACAGUAUAUGUGACACACUUAU